UACAGAGGUCUCAAGCGUUGUUCGGAUUCAUUGGGCGUAAAGGGUGUGUAGGUGGCGCGCUAAGUCGGGUGUGAAAUUUCGGAGCUUAACUCCGAAACUGCAUUCGAUACUGCGUGCUUGAGGACUGGAGAGGAGACUGGAAUUCAUGGUGUAGCAGUGAAAUGCGUAGAGAUCAUGAGGAAGACCAGUGGCGAAGGCGGGUCUCUGGACAGUUCCUGACACUGAGACACGAAGGCCAGGGGAGCAAACGGG
rnacentral:rRNA from 1 species